rnacentral:tRNA from 1 species
GGAUUGUGGCUAAGUGGUAGAGUACUCGCCUAGCAUGCAUGAGGUACUGGGUUCGAUCCUCAGCACCA